rnacentral:rRNA from 1 species
AGCAGUAGCCGCGGUAAUACGGAGGGUGCAAGCGUUAUCCGGAUUUAUUGGGUUUAAAGGGUCCGUAGGCGGACUUAUAAGUCAGUGGUGAAAGCCUGUCGCUUAACGAUAGAACUGCCAUUGAUACUGUAAGUCUUGAGUAUAUUUGAGGUAGCUGGAAUAAGUAGUGUAGCGGUGAAAUGCAUAGAUAUUACUUAGAACACCAAUUGCGAAGGCAGGUUACCAAGAUAUAACUGACGCUGAGGGACGAAAGCGUGGGUAGCGAACAGGAUUAGAUACCCCUGUAGUCCCUGUCUCUUAUAC